UCACAAAACGACACCCUCAUCUCCCUACCAGGGUCCAGGGCAGGUCUCUGUGCUAAUUUUUUGAAUUACAAACGCGGAUAGUUUGAGAGGGGGAGCCUCCGGGUUAAGAUUUGGGGCAGACAAGAGGGGGACAUCCCCACGAUCUGCUAUUUUCUCACGCUUUCUCAUCCACACCAGCCAAUCAUGCCAUCAGGUGCAAAGAAGAGAAAAGCUGCUAAGAAAAAGAGGGAAAAGGAUACCCAUAAAAACUCUGGUAGUAACGCACAAGGGAAUGGUGAUUUGAAAAAUCAAGAUGACAAGGACAGUGAUGGGGCGGAAGUUAGUUCUCCGACAUCUCAGGACCAAAAUCCAUUCGUUGACAGAGAGGAGGAGGUGGAGGAGGAAAAGAGGGAUGCUCAAUCUGUUCAAUCAUGCGAUGAUGAGAGCAAAUCCGCCGAGCAAACCCCUGAUGAUGGGAAGGCUACCCAGGAAGCAGAAGGAGAGGGUGUUGUUGAAAUUGUGAGAGAAUUAAAAUCUGAAGAGGUUUCUGAGAGCCAAAAGGUCAGUAUUGAGUAUGUUGAAUCUACUAAGGUGUCAGGUGAUGGAGGCUCUUCUGGGGACAGUGGGAGUUCUAGCAGCAGUAGUUCAGAUGAUGAGUCUCAAGUCACUAAGAAGAGUUCUGAAGCUGUGGGGUCAGGGAACUUCAAGGUGGAAACAUAUAAUUCGGUUUCAGAAACUGCCCCUGUUGAUGAUUUGGUUAAGCCAGAUUUUACUUUGUCUGAAGGGGUAUCUUGUGAUACCAAGAGUGCACCAGUAGAUGAGGUUUAUAAUUCAGUUGUAGAGACUGCUUCUGUUGUUGAUUCAGUCAAGCCAGAAGUUUCUUCUUCUGAAGUGGUGAAUUUGGUUUUGGAAACUACCCCUGUUGGUGAUUCAGUUAAGCCAUAUGUUUCUUUGUCUGAAGAGGUGACUUCUGAUGCCAAAGGUGUGCCAGGUGAGGAGGCUUAUAAGUCUGCUGUGGAGACUGCUUCCGUUGUUGAUUUAGUUAAGCCAGAAAUGUCUGUGUCUGGAGAGGUGAUUUGUGUUACUGAUAGUGCUGCACUUGGGAAUUCAGUGGCUGCUGAUGUGGUUGAAUUAGGAUUGAAGGAAAAUGAAGAGAAAAAGUUGCCUGCAUCAAGUGGAAGUCCUGAUGUUUCACCAAUUAUGGUGGAUUUGGCAUCAAAGAAGACUGAGGAUAAAGUUUUUCCCUUACCAGAUGAGGGUGCAGGGCUAUCCUCCACUUUUGUAGGUUCUGAGGUGCUAGAAAAUGAGGAUGAACCAUUGCCAUCGUCAGAUGCUCCUAGUUUUGAAACUAGUAAUGGUGCGGAACAUGUUAAAAAUUCUGAAGUUCCUGAAUGCUCUGAAAAGCAGCCUCCGGCACCUUCUGCUCCACGAGCAGUGCAUAAGACUUCCUGGAUGGGUUGCUGUGGGCUGUUUGAUGUGCUAACAGGAUCCAAUAGAUAAUUUCAGCAAUGAAAGUUCCAAGCAAAACUUGCUGUACCUGCCAUGCUGGUUCAUUGGGAAAACCCACAAUUUGCUGUGGUGUAUCAGUCAGAAGCCUCUUCAUUUUGGGCUAGUUUGCAAGUUUGCAUUCAUCUAGUCCAUUGGGGUUCCUUACUGCAGUUUUAUCAGUUUUUUAAUUUGAAUGGGUUGGACAGCUGUUAGAAUUUUCCACCCUCAAGAAUAUAUUAAAUUUAGUUGCCAAGACUCUUCCUCAAAGAUGGUGGGACAUGAUCGGGAGAAGCAUCCAGGUUGGAGUGGCAGGCAGAUUCCAUUUCCAGCUUCAUCUGGCCUCUUCCAAGCUAAACAGAGCAUGAGGGGGGCUUCAGUGGACCAGUGAGCUUGUGAAGUAUUUUGAAUAAGAAUCAUUUCAAGUAUUUCUCUUUGAAGAAUAAUGGGCCAGAGGUCUGACUAGAUGAACAAUUACGGCUCUGCAGUAGUUUUUGUAUGAUGAUUGGUAGGCAGCUCAAUGCCCCUCACUUUGGCAACAAUUUUUCCUUGUUACUUCUGUGGUGGGUAGUUCUUUUUUCUCAUUGUUACCAAAUUUUAUGAAUAUGUAUUGACCUCUCUGCACGAGGUAUAUCAUCUUGUGUAGGGAAGCUGCAUAGCCUAGAACUUAAUAGUUUGGAUAUGAGUUUACUGUUUUACUUGAAUGUCGUUCAGCCUCCUGGUGUUACCAGUUGGACUGUCCUUUCUUUGAACUUGAGAUUCUUGUGGCUAGAGUACAAAAUAAUUUAGGACA